AUUGAACGCUAGCGGGAUGCUUUACACAUGCAAGUCGAACGAGUGGCGGACGGGUGAGUAAUAGAUCCGAACGUGCCCAGUAGCGGGGGAUAACUACUCGAAAGAGUGGCUAAUACCGCAUACUAUUUGAGAGGCCGAUAUCUGAUUAGCUAGUUGGUGGGUUAAAGUCUCACCAAGGCAAAGAUCCGUAGCUGGUUUGAGAGGACGACCGGCCACACUGGCACUGGUACACGGGCGAGACUCCUACGGGAGGCAGCAGUGGGGAAUUUUGGACAAUGGGGAAAACCCUGAUCCAGCCAUCCCGCGUGUAUGAGAAGGCCUUCGGGUUGUAAAGUUCUUUUGGCAGAGAUGCGGUAUCUGCAGAAUAAGCACCGGCUAACUACGUGCCAGCGGCCGCGGUAAUAC
rnacentral:rRNA from 1 species